AGUUAGCCCGUCACUUUCGCGGGACCUACUCUUGUGGUCAAUCAGAAGUCGGCCAACGAUUUCAUUCCGUAUCGGCACGUGUCUAGGUCGGUUCUCCCCUCUGCACCCACCGCCUCUCCUCCUCGCGGUGUUCCAUCGCUGAACCCAGCAGACUGGCGGCGGCACCCAGUGUGAGCGGAAAGGCUGGAAGGGGGCGUGGAGGAGAUGGUUCGCCGGCCAGAAGUGGCGCCAGCGCAUCCCGCAGGCGGCGUGGCUCUGGUCGGCCUCCAGGUCAUCGGCCCUCCUCCAUUAUUGGCUCUCUCACGGUCAGAUCGAUUGGUCCAAUUUCUUGGGUGAGCUCCUCCCUUUUAACUUGCAUCAGGGGUCCUUCAGGCGAAAACAAUAGUACUCCAGUUCCGUUUUUGUUUUUCUUCGCGUCCAUCCUCCCUUCCAAAUCCGUUACCCGCAGGUGGAUCCUUUUGAUGAAAAUCUGGAUCGUGAGGCCGGAGACCAAGCAGAGAACUCGCGGCGUAGGUACUCCUUUUCGUCACCCUCCCUCUCAUCUCUUUCACCUACGUGGAGGUACCGCGCCUCGGCCCUUCAGCUCCGCGGUCGACCUCCACCGAUCAGAGGACGGGGGCGACCACCGCCCGAGCCUCCGGUGUCCUAUGCAGGGUGGGUCGCCUUCCCUUAAGCUGCCGCGGCUAACUCUAGGUCGUGUGGCCAGCUCGACGGUGGUGUUGGCCUGGUCCUCGUGCCGGUUAUGACGCCGGGCGAGGUCCUCGAGUAUGCUGGAGACGACGGCCGUGGUUGGUGCUUACAACAAUGGAGGCGGUGCCAGAUUCCCCUGAGUUGCUAUUUGCUAAAGCUGACGGCAAGGAAGUGUUCAGAUCCAUGCAUUUACAAGGUCCAUGGGUUAUGAUUGGCACGAAAUCAGCUCAAUGGGAUCUGCCAUAUAGUUGCAGAACUGAUGUAUAGAGGAAGCAUCUACAGAUCUGUUUUUUCUCUUUAAAUAGUUAUUGUUGUGAUAAUAUAUUUUUGGCAUGCCUCUUUUUUUUUCCAAUUUUUAUUGCAUUAGCGUUGAAUGCUACUGGGUAUGUAACCUCUAGCCACAAUAACUUACCGUUGGUUCCUGAAAUAUCUAGAUUGUCUGGUUAUAGUCUAGAAAUAUCAGGAAACAAUCUCACUUCAUUAUUUUGAAAAAUUGAUACAAGCGUGUUUCACCUCACGGUGUUCUUAUUGUGUAUGGAAAUUAUAGUGAUUUCAGGUAUAUUUGUUGUGUAGAGUUAUUAUGUUAUUUGAAGUCAUUACCUUAAAUACUACAAAGUAGCUCAUAUUCACUAUGAAACAAUUUUACUUAGAAGCUUAUUAUCAUAUCAUGGUUCUUCUCUUAAUGCCACUGCAAUGUUUGUUUCAGGUUACAGACCCUUACCUCCAUUAUAGUUUUAUUAUCCGAUCUUAGGGAGCUGAUGUUGAUAAUUUAUUUGCUUUUACCUUUGAUUAACACAUCAUCUCAUCUUUGCAUUGUGCUAAUAAUUGUUGGACUAGAAUGUAAUUACCACGACACCUCGACAUCUAUGAGCCCACUUCGCUUGGGGCUACCUAGCGCGCUUUAUACGUUGAAACUAUACUCCUAUUAAAAUACAUGUUGAUCGUCAGUGAGGUGUGUCUCUUUUGGUUGCUCCCAAUGCCAGGCACAUUUGCGUCUUGGUUCGCCAGGUCACGGUGUAUUUAAUUAUGUUGAUAUCUUUCUGAGGUGAUUAGUUAUUGUACGCUGCUGGCAUUUGAUCAUAUAUAUGCAUGCUUGAAAGCUAUCAGAGCUAAUGCUUAUUCACCUCUCUGUAUCUAUGUUUUGUUUUCAUUGUUGAUUUUUUGGUUGGCAGUAAGUUGAAAACAAGACUGUGCUUGCUGCAGUAACUUAAGCUUAAAGUACAUGGUUUAAAUCUUCUCUAACACUCUUUUUUCUUAUAUACAAUAGGAGAUGGAUUUAACCCGAGAUUGGAAGUAUUGCAUCAUAUAUAAUUUCAUGAGGUGAAUUCAGUUCUUGCCCGCAUUGCACCAAGUUGAAAUUCAGAUGAACUUACAAAGAAAGGAUAUGUCAUCAAGCUGGGUAGAACAUAGAAGUGUUGUCACGGCAAGCCAAGUAUAUUAGGGUUUGCGGUGACAGACCUGAAAGAGGCAUCACAUCACCUUCUACGCUAUAGGGUUAUAAGGGAGCUCAGGCUCAGGUUAGUAGCUUAAUUAAGAAACAACCGCAGCAAGAAUCUCAUGGCUUGACACUGGGAUAUGAGAUUUUUUUUGUUCUCACAGCAUAUAAAGCGACGGAUCGUUUCUAUAUGGAUUUGUGUUAUAUUUGGAAGUGAUGCUGUGACAUAGCAAUUGCAGGCUGAAGCUGUAACAAUUUUCAGUCUGCAAAAUACUAUUGAUUUUGGUAUUAAGCUGUUGCUAUAGCAUGAGCAUGCCUACUCGAACAACAUGUUUAUUACAUAUCUGUGUAUGCAUAAGAAUUCUUUGGGCUGAGCUCAUUAGAUUAGCUUUCAUGGUGCUUUAGUUUUUUUCUGUAAAAAUCAAUUGCUUAACUUUUUUACUUGCAACAUCAUUGACAGUUUCUUCAGUUGUUAUUCUGAAUUACGAUGUUGCAGAAACCCAAAUUCUGAUUCUAAUUUAAGUUCCAAUACUAACUGGCCUUUUGAACUUCUCAAAUCCUAUAUUAAACAAAUCCACUUUGGUCGCCCCGAAAAAAAAUCCACUUUGGUCAAUAAUGUUCAUCCAAUCUUGACAAAAUCAAGAGAACUAAGUACCACUACAAAUUCAGUUAGAGUAAUCUAUGUGAUUCCUGAAAAAGAUGGCAGUGAAUUAGCUUAAAUUGAGAAUUAAGUUCCGGUACAAGAUAAUUCAGUCUAGAGUAUCCAUAUGCAUGCCUUGAAAGAUCGGAAGAGAGUAAUCUUUAUGCACUUCUUACAAAGAUUGGAUCAAACAUGGCAAUGAAUCAACUUAUACAUCCUUAAUCUAUCUGCCAUACGCAUCCUUCUAACAUUUGGGCGUCAUGUUAUAGAACAAAAUAUGUCUGGUAGCUCUGGGCUUGUGUGCUUAACGAAACAAUGUAAGAUCUUUUUUUUUCAAAGGAAUGUGGUAGGGGAAGCCCCUACAUUGAUAAUUUUUUGAAAAAAUAAGAACCUAAAUCCGCGCUCCUGGGAACUUGAACCUAGGUGAUUGGGUUGUACAUCCACUUCCUUUACCAAGUGAGCUAGACUCAUUUUUUAGGAUUGUUUUUGUUUGUUCUAGAAUCUUAUGAUCCAUUAGAGAAAAAUCCAGAUUAGUUUUAUCUUUUGAAUUGUUUAAUUGCUUGUGCUAUUCCACCACCUAAGUCCGUCGUAAAUAUUACUCUGUCCACACAAACUUUCUGUGUGGUUAUUAGAAUGAGUUCACAUUAUCAGGAAACUGCUAUGUGCUGAUAAGAUAAAUUCAAAUGUCAAGGAAUUUCUCCUGAAGAGUUUAGUGUGAAUCAAAUCAAUUAGUGUACUUGCUAAAGCCUAUUUAAUCAUCUCUCUGAUUUUGAAUAUGGAACUUAUUGCUUUUAGUAUUUUAUUCCUUUUCUUCUGUAACUAUGGGUGGCUUUAAUAAACUAUAGUCACUUGCACAUGAGGGUUCUGUGAAGCUGUACAUUUUUCUGACAUUUGGCAAACAAAAAAAUUAUGCUUCCAAAUAAUAAUUUCAUUUAGGUACUAAUUUCUAUCUUGCUGGGUAAUGGUUGCUCAACAUGCAUGUUUAUUCUCAUUGAAAAUCUGAAGUUAUUCACUGUACUUCAAGUAACUGACGGUAACACACAUUCUGCUCUAUGUAAAAGAGGAGCUUGAAGUUUUGAGCAUCAAUAUACGGGUGAUCUUCUCUUCUAGGCAUAUCAUUAGCCUGUAGGUGUGACUACCCGACAUUUUAGACUUAUCCAUUUAUAUUUCUCAAUCUAUUCUUCUGUAAUAUUUUUGCGUGUAACGAACAUCUGCAGGCAGAGACGAUAGACGUUUAAUGUGCCUUCUAUCUUUCUUGCACUAGACCAUGUAUGUCUUAAAACUUAUGUCAUUACACUGACGGUAUACACAA